AGGAAGGUGGAAAGGAAGAUCAGUUCAUCUCAAAGCAUUGAAAGCACUAAACAAACACCCUUCUCUCCAACUCAACAGAGACCACAACACAAGGCAAUACUUAUAAUCUUCUAAUAAUCUCAACAGUGAAGAGAAAAAGAGUACCACAAAAUUGAAAUCCAAGAAACCAAUUGUAGCCAAAAACGGGAAAAGAAGGGUUUUUUUUUUCUCUCUUUGUGCAGAUUUUAAUGAAGUAGGGAUUUCUGCGAUGCACCGUGUAGCAAGUGCAGGCAAUACAUCCAAUUCGGUUCGGCCUAGGAAGGAGAAGAGGUUGACUUAUGUUUUGAAUGAUGCAGAUGACACUAAGCAUUGUGCAGGUGUAAAUUCUUUGUCCGUAUUGAAGUCAUCAGCAACUGAUGGAUGUGACUACCUAUUUACUGGGAGUAGAGAUGGCACGUUAAAGAGGUGGGCAUUGGCUAAAGAUGGUGCCACCUGCUCUGCUACAUUUGAGUCACAUGUUGAUUGGGUAAAUGAUGCAGUUCUUACAGGUAGUAACACAUUAGUGUCAUGCUCCUCAGAUACCACUGUCAAGGUGUGGAAUGGCUUAUCUGAUGGAUCUUGUAUUAAGACACUCCGGCAGCAUUCCGAUUAUGUCACCAGCCUUGCUUCAGCAGAAAAAAAUAGCAAUGUUGUUGCAUCCGCUGGUCUUGGUGGUGAGGUUUUCAUAUGGGAUCUUGAAGCUGCACUUACUCCGACAUCUAGGUCGGGUGAUGCUACUGAAGAAGACUGUUCAAAUGGUGUCAAUGGUUCAGGAAGUUCAUUGCCCAUGACAAUCCGUCCUAUCGGUUCGAGCAAUAAUAUUUCCUUGCAGACCCAGUCUCAAGCAUAUAUUCCUGUGACUGCAAAAGGGCAUAAGGAGUCAGUAUAUGCGUUGGCAAUGAAUGAGAGUGGAUCCCUUCUUGUUUCUGGUGGUACUGAGAAGGUUGUGCGCGUAUGGGACGCAAGAACUGGUUCCAAGACCAUGAAGCUAAAAGGUCAUACAGAUAAUAUUAGGGCUCUGCUGCUCGAUUCCACUGGCAGGUUCUGCAUAUCUGGAUCUUCUGAUUCCAUGAUUAGACUAUGGGAUCUAGGUCAGCAGCGAUGCGUGCAUUCUUAUGCUGUGCAUACGGAUUCUGUAUGGUCACUUGCUAGCACUCCUACAUUUAGUCAUGUUUAUAGUGGUGGGAGAGACCUCUCUUUGUACUUGACAGAUUUGGCAACAAGGGAGAGUGUAUUGCUCUGCACAAAGGAACACCCCAUCUUGCAGUUAGCAUUGCAUGAUGACAGCAUUUGGGUGGCCACAACUGAUUCAUCUGUACAUAGGUGGCCCGUGGAAGUGCGUAAUCCCCAGAAAGUUUUUCAAAGAGGGGGCUCAUUCUUGGCUGGAAAUUUGUCCUUUUCCAGGGCAAGGGUUUCUCUAGAAGGAUCUACACCUGUGCCUGUUUAUAAAGAACCAUCUCUCAGCAUUCGUGGAACUCCAGGAAUAGUGCAGCAUGAGAUUUUGAACAACAGAAGACAUGUCCUGACUAAAGAUACUGCUGGUACAGUGAAGUUGUGGGAGAUCACUAGAGGCACUGUGAUUCACAACUAUGGAGAGGUUUCAUUUGAGAAGAAGAAAGAAGAACUUUUUGAGAUGUUGAGCAUCCCUGCAUGGUUCACUGUGGACACUAGGCUUGGAAGCUUGGCUGUACAUCUGGAUACGCCACAAUGCUUUUCUGCUGAGAUGUACUCUGCUGACCUCAGCAUUCCAGGGAAGCCUGAAGAUGACAAGGUUAAUUUGGCACGAGAAACUCUUAAAGGGCUGUUGGCUCAUUGGUUAACCAAAAGAAAGCAGAGAUUUGGAUCUCAAGCUUUAGCCAAUGGGGAAGCCCCAGCUGGAAAGGAUGUACCUACAAGGAAUUUGACUGCGUCAAAAAUUGAAGCGGACAGUAAUGCUGACAAUGAUGCUGCAGUAUAUCCUCCCUUUGAAUUUUCAGCAGCAUCCCCUCCGUCAAUUAUUACCGAGGGUUCUCAAAGUGGCCCAUGGAGGAAAAAGAUUACCGACUUAGAUGGAACGGAAGAUGAAAAGGACAUGCCAUGGUGGGUAAUGGAUUGUGUGAUGAACAAUCGGUUGCCUCCCAGGGAAAAUACCAAAUGUAGCUUCUACUUGCAUCCAUGUGAGGGUUCUACUGUCCAGAUCCUUACCCAAGGAAAACUGAGUGCGCCUCGCAUAUUAAGAAUUCACAAAGUCAUCAACUAUGUUAUAGAAAAGAUGGUUCUUGAGAAGCCACUGGAUAGCAUAAGCUCAGAUGGAACUGCUGGAAUUCCUGGUGGACAGGUGACACACCCAGCUAUUGGAGGAGACGGCUUAUUUCGGACUGGGCUGAAGCCUUGGCAAAAGCUUAAGCCAUCCAUUGAGAUCUUGUGCAGUAACCAGGUUUUAUCCCCUGAUAUGAGCUUAGCGACUGUCCGUGCAUAUAUAUGGAAGAAACCUGAAGACCUUGUCCUCAACUACCGGGUGUUGACUAGUAGGUGAUAGGAUUAUAUUUAUCAGUCACACUUGUCUGCUUUUGCUUUGAUGGCUUGCUGCAUUGACUAAAAUAUUGAGAAUUUGCGUUUCUCGCAAAUGGACAUUGCUAUAUCCUUCCUGCUGCCCUUCAAAUUCAAAAGAAUCAAAACCCCUGCCCUGGACUUUCAAAGGAUCUGCUGACUAACUCCUUCUCUCCUUCCAUCUUCUGAUUAUUGGCUAUUUGAUUACUUUUAUCAGGUCCAGAGUAGCUUGAGGUGAUUGAGCUGAGCGCUGUUCAUCAAAAAUAAUUGAAAGGUUUAGCAUUCAACUGGCUGCUUGCUGCUGUCAUGAGUAAUUGCUUCCUUGUAGAUCUGGGAUCCAAGUGGUUCGAUUAAUUAGGAAAAUUUACACGUCUUUGCUGUUUGCACAUCAGAAGGUGGUAAUUAUUGAGUUUUGGUUUUUGGUGCUUUUAGAAGAAAUAGAAAGCUUGCAUUUGCUGAAGGAAGGAGUUCUGGUUUUGAGGGGACAUGAGACUGAAUUCUUCAAGAAAAAGAGCUCGUGAUGUUGUCGGGAGCCUGUAGAUUUAUAUAUGACUCAAUAUGCAAAGGCCGGGGUUUGGAUGUUCCGAUAAGUCUUCCAAGAACCGCACUGUUGGGACUUGGGCAGGUGAAUAAUAUCUCCAGAAGAAAAAUUACCUUUUCUGGUCAAACUAAUUUAUAUGCUUACUUCCUCUCUCAUUUCCUUUACUCUGUAAAUCUUCUUUGUUACUAGUAUUCUCAAUUUUAGUGGAGAAGAUUUGGUGAUAGGCCAUUUAUAAAGCCGAUCACAUUGUUCUUA